CUACGGGUCGCUCCAGUGGGGAAUAUUGGACAAUGGGCGAAAGCCUGAUCCAGCAAUGCCGCGUGCGUGAAGAAGGCCUGCGGGUUGUAAAGCACUUUCAGUUGGGAAGAUGAUGACGUUACCAACAGAAGAAGCACCGGCUAAAUCCGUGCCAGCAGCCGCGGUAAUACGGAUGGUGCGAGCGUUAAUCGGAAUUACUGGGCGUAAAGCGCGCGUAGGCGGCUAAGUCAGUCAGAAGUGAAAGCCCCGGGCUCAACCUGGGAAUUGCUUUUGAUACUGCUUAGCUAGAGUUUGGUAGAGGAUAGUGGAAUUCCAGGUGUAGCGGUGAAAUGCGUAGAUAUCUGGAGGAACAUCAGUGGCGAAGGCGACUGUCUGGACCAAAACUGACGCUGAGGUGCGAAAGCGUGGGUAGCAAACAGGAUUAGAUACCCUCGUAGUC
rnacentral:rRNA from 1 species